ACUGGCUCUGAGUCUGAGCAGGGAGUGAUUUAACUGUCAAAUUUGUGUUAAUGGGCAAAUUCUCAGAGACAAAGGUAGACAUUUGAGGAUUGAGGCAAAACUGAAAAGCAGCUGAGUUGGAACAGCCUAGGAAAGAGGAAGGGGAUGCUGGUUUGUUGACUAUGGUUGGAGUCCAUUGAAAGUAAGGAAUGCUUUCAUUGUUGUUGUCCAAGGCCAAUGUAGUUGCAGCUGGGUGUGAGUAUAUGGCAUGACUCCAUCAGAGACAUUGAAAUCUUUUUCCUCUUUUAUUCUCCCCUGGAUAAGCUUUGAGUACUUUGCAAAUCAAAAGAAAAAAGAAAGGUGGGAGGAGCUGAAAAUUGUGAGAGAACAAGAGUUGUAUAAUGCCACUAUGGUGCCAAAACUCACAAGUGAGAGGAUCGCGCUGGAGAUCUUCACCCGCAGCAUCUGAUUCUCUCUAGUGUUAGGCAACUUGUGUUAAAGAUUUCAAAGGUUCUUUCCAUCAACA